CCUACGGGAGACAGCAGUGGGGGAUAUUGCACAAUGGGGGAAACCCUGAUGCAGCGACGCCGCGUGAGUGAAGACGUAUUUCGGUAUGUAAAGCUCUAUCAGCAGGGAAGAAAAUGACAGUACCUGACCAAGAAGCCCCGGCUCACUACGUGCCAGCAGCCGCGGUAAUACGGGGGGGGCCGGCGUUAUCCGGAUUUUCUGGGGGUAAAGGGGGCGUAGUCGGUUAUGUAAGUCUGGAGUGAAAGCCCGGGGGCCAACCCCGGGACUGCUUUGGAAACUGUGUAACUGGAGUACAGGAGGGGCAGGCGGAAUGCCUGGUGUAGCGGUGAAAUGCGUAGAUAUCAGGAGGAACACCGGCGGCGAAGGCGGCCUGCUGGACUGAAACUGACGUUGAGGCUCGAAAGCGUGGGGAGCAAACAGGAUUAGAUACCCCAGUAGUC
rnacentral:rRNA from 1 species